rnacentral:rRNA from 1 species
CAGUCGCCGCGGGAAUACGUAGGGUGCAAGCGUUAAUCGGAAUUACUGGGCGUAAAGCGUGCGCAGGCGGUUCUAUAAGACAGAUGUGAAAUCCCCGGGCUCAACCUGGGAACUGCAUUUGUGACUGUAGAGCUGGAGUACGGCAGAGGGGGAUGGAAUUCCGCGUGUAGCAGUGAAAUGCGUAGAUAUGCGGAGGAACACCGAUGGCGAAGGCAAUCCCCUGGGCCUGUACUGACGCUCAUGCACGAAAGCGUGGGGAGCAAACAGGAUUAGAUACCCGUGUAGUCCCUGUCUCUUAUAC